rnacentral:rRNA from 1 species
UGAGAGGUUGAUCGGCCACAUUGGGACUGAGACACGGCCCAAACUCUACGGGAGGCAGCAGUAGGGAAUCUUCCACAAUGGACGCAAGUCUGAUGGAGCAACGCCGCGUGAGUGAAGAAGGCUUUCGGGUCGUAAAACUCUGUUGUUGGAGAAGAAUGGUCGGCAGAGUAACUGUUGUCGGCGUGACGGUAUCCAACCAGAAAGCCACGGCUAACUACGUGCCAGCAGCCGCGGUAAUACGUAGGUGGCAAGCGUUAUCCGGAUUUAUUGGGCGUAAAGCGAGCGCAGGCGGUUUUAUAAGUCUGAUGUGAAAGCCCUCGGCUUAACCGAGGAAGCGCAUCGGAAACUGGGAAACUUGAGUGCAGAAGAGGACAGUGGAACUCCAUGUGUAGCGGUGAAAUGCGUAGAUAUAUGGAAGAACACCAGUGGCGAAGGCGGCUGUCUGGUCUGUAACUGACGCUGAGGCUCGAAAGCAUGGGUAGCGAACAGGAUUAGAUACCCUGGUAGUCCAUGCCGUAAACGAUGAAUGCUAGGUGUUGGAGGGUUUCCGCCCUUCAGUGCCGCAGCUACCGCAUUAAGCAUUCCGCCUGGGGAGUACGACCGCAAGGUUGAAACUCAAAGGAAUUGACGGGGGCCCGCACAAGCGGUGGAGCAUGUGGUUUAAUUCGAAGCAACGCGAAGAACCUUACCAGGUCUUGACAUCUUUUGAUCACCUGAGAGAUCAGGUUUCCCCUUCGGGGGCAAUAUGACAGGUGGUGCAUGGUUGUCGUCAGCUCGUGUCGUGAGAUGUUGGGUUAAGUCCCGCAACGAGCGCAACCCUUAUGACUAGUUGCCAGCAUUGAGUUGGGCACUCUAGUAAGACUGCCGGUGACAAACCGGAGGAAGGUGGGGAUGACGUCAAAUCAUCAUGCCCCUUAUGACCUGGGCUACACACGUGCUACAAUGGAUGGUACAACGAGUUGCGAG